rnacentral:lncRNA from 1 species
UCUGUGAAGUCACUCCUCCCCCACUUUCAGUCCAUGUGCUUCAGGUAGAUUUGACUCCACCCAAGACUGGAAUAUGUGGCUUGGAUCAAGCUAAUCAGCUCAUCACAUUGUCCUGUUCAUGAUCAAUGAGAUUCUGACUGGGAAUGUGGUACCAAGAUCUUCCUAUCUCCCACUGCAUAGGAAGCUGGCAGGAUAGAGCCCUGGGAGCUGCUGGCAGUCACCUUAUGCCCAGAGGCUUUUAGCCCAUCAGAGGAUACUUUACGUUGUCCUGUUCUCUUUGGUGACAGAAAGCAAACACAACAAGGAGCCCUCACCUUACCCAUGAAGACAAAGAGCCAGGAGACUUGGAAACCUGGUAAUGCCACCUAUAUCUCCAUAUUGGAAAGGGGAGUCUUGGGAGUUGAAGAGGAAGAGAAGCUAGUGAGAAAACCAAGGAGGAGCAGCUAGGAAGCCAGGAGAAGAGUGGCGAGUCUCACAGACAGGAGUCACAGAAGCAAGGAUUUUCAAGGCAGUUCGUCAGCAGUGUUCUGCAGACAAACCAUAAAGAAAAGACUAAGGGACAUUUUCUCUUU